GAUGAACGCUGGCGGCGUGCCUAAUACAUGCAAGUCGAGCGAACGGACGAGAAGCUUGCUUCUCUGAUGUUAGCGGCGGACGGGUGAGUAACACGUGGAUAACCUACCUAUAAGACUGGGAUAACUUCGGGAAACCGGGGCUAAUACCGGAUAAUAUUUUGAACCGCAUGGUUCAAAAGUGAAAGACGGUCUUGCUGUCACUUAUAGAUGGAUCUGCGCUGCAUUAGCUAGUUGGUAAGGUAACGGCUUACCAAGGCAACGAUGCAUAGCCGACCUGAGAGGGUGAUCGGCCACACUGGAACUGAGACACGGUCCAGACUCCUACGGGAGGCAGCAGUAGGGAAUCUUCCGCAAUGGGCGAAAGCCUGACGGAGCAACGCCGCGUGAGUGAUGAAGGUCUUCGGAUCGUAAAACUCUGUUAUUAGGGAAGAACAUAUGUGUAAGUAACUGUGCACAUCUUGACGGUACCUAAUCAGAAAGCCACGGCUAACUACGUG
rnacentral:rRNA from 1 species